rnacentral:rRNA from 1 species
UACGUAGGGGGCAAGCGUUGUCCGGAAUCAUUGGGCGUAAAGAGCGUGUAGGCGGCCCGAUAAGUCCGCCGUGAAAGUCCAGGGCUCAACCCUGGAAUGCCGGUGGAAACUGUCGGGCUGGAGUCCGGAAGAGGCGAGUGGAAUUCCUGGUGUAGCGGUGAAAUGCGCAGAUAUCAGGAGGAACACCCGUAGCGAAGGCGGCACUCUGGGCCGAUACUGACACUGAGGAGCGAAAGCGUGGGGAGCGAACAGG